rnacentral:rRNA from 1 species
GAUGAACGCUAGCUACAGGCUUAACACAUGCAAGUCGAGGGGAAACGAUAGAGAAAGCUUGCUUUUUCUAGGCGUCGACCGGCGCACGGGUGAGUAACGCGUAUCCAACCUGCCCAUCACUUGGGGAUAACCUUGCGAAAGUAAGACUAAUACCCAAUGACGUCUCUAGAAAACAUCUGAAAGGGAUUAAAGAUUUAUCGGUGAUGGAUGGGGAUGCGUCUGAUUAGCUUGUUGGCGGGGUAACGGCCCACCAAGGCGACGAUCAGUAGGGGCUCUGAGAGGAAGGUCCCCCACAUUGGAACUGAGACACGGUCCAAACUCCUACGGGAGGCAGCAGUGAGGAAUAUUGGUCAAUGGACGAGAGUCUGAACCAGCCAAGUAGCGUGCAGGAUGACGGCCCUAUGGGUUGUAAACUGCUUUUAUAAGGGAAUAAAGUGAGAGUCGUGACUCUUUUUGCAUGUACCUUAUGAAUAAGGACCGGCUAAUUCCGUGCCAGCAGCCGCGGUAA